CCAGCUGGGCCUGCUGGCCGACUGAGGGGCGCACCUCUGUUGGCACAGCGUUCAAGGAUCCCAGGUGAUAGGAAUCCUCCCGUGUUAAGCAGACACACAGGCUGUAGGCAUCUACAUUGUAGGAUUUUUCAGAAAAGGGGCCGAGAGUAGGGCGGUUGGAGGGAUGGGGUAACUGGGGACUGGGGACACUCCCUGGAGGACACUGAGGCUCAGCUAGGGUCCCACAGCUGUCUCGGAGAGCUCUGCCAGGCAGUGAGAAUCUGGAUCCUGCUUGCAGGGCGGCGAGCUGCCGGGGUUGGGAUGUGCCAUCACUGGACUCUGAUUCUCUGGGCCAGAUGGGGAGCCAGGUCAGGAAAGCGCGGAACCGAAAACCUUGCUGAGAGCCAUCCUUCUCCCUAUGACCCCAGCUCUCCAGACACCGGAGAUGGAGCCGGGGUGGGGGCGCACCACCGGUGGGGGUGGGGGACUUCCGUGGCUGAGUGGGAUCUGCGGAUGCUGCCCGGGUUAAUGCCAGCUGGGACCCACCAGCCUCCCCCACCUGGAGCCUUGGGGUAGCGACAGGUGGAGGAGAUAUUCCCGUUUCUGCACUGCGACUAGGGAGGUCCAGCCUUGCUCGGACCCCGCGUCUCCCGGUAGGAGUCCCUAACUUCCAGAAUCUUUCCCUCACUGUUUUGGGUUGGAAACCAGCAAGGUCGAGGUUCCGCCGGUCCUAAAAGGUUAGGAUCCCGGUCUGGAAAGGAUCAGAACACGACAAGCACAAAGAAUAUACUGAGGAGAGGAGGAAGGUAGGGGGAGAAUCUUCAGUUAUCUGAUUCUUUUUAAUAUCUCUGAGCACCCCCCCCCUUCCUGGUGCAACAUACCUAGGGCCCAAAUGGAAAAUGUAGGGCCUACAAAAAGAGUGAGGAUGGAGAUCAAAGCCACAAAUGACAAUGGUGGGAGAUGGCAGGCGGGCCUCAGGGUGGGCGAGGCAGCCAGAGGCUGGGGGUCAGCACACAGAGGUAGUAGUUCCUCCCCCACCCCGCUCCUGGGGGGGAGGGGCGCCCCAAUUGCGCGCUCCGGCUCUUCCCUGGAAGGGGAGGGGCGGGGACGGCUGGGAGACGAGGCGGUGACGUCAGACUUGGCGGAGCCAAUCGAAGACUGGCCUGGGGAGGGAGCGUGAAAGGAUGAAUGAAAAGUCCGGAUCCGGAGCGCGCCCGGGCCAGAGCAGCGGCAGCGGCGGAGGCGGGAGCUGGGGAGGCGAGGCCCGCUCGGCCCUGCUCGUCUCGGCUCUGCGGAGGCUGAGAUCCGGCGGGCGCCUGCACCCCGGCGCCAGCUGAGCAUUGGCACCCCGGACCCGGGGCCACGGCUGUCCGUGGCGGGAGCGCGCCGGGAGGACCAAGCGGGAGAGCACGAUGGGCGCCCUGGGCUCGAUCUUCUCACCUGGGGCGGGAGGGUGCUCCAACACCCUCCCGCCCUCGUUCCCCCACGCGUGAGCCAGAACCGCGCGUCCAGCACCACGGACAGCUCCUGGGCGACCCCUGGUGAGCGCCGGUGGUCAGAGGACCUGGCGGAGGAUCUGAUGUACAAAUCCUGGCGGGGUCAGAACUGGGCAUCUCAGCAGGAGGAAGGAGAGGGAAAUUCCAUGAUCCCACAUUCCUUUCUUGGGAAGUCCUGGCCCGUGUCUAACCCUGGUCUGUACUGAAGCCCCGUUCUUCGGCCCUUGGCUUGACAAGCUACUUUGAGAGGUUCCGCUUCCGUCUACGUCAGGAAGGAGGGAGCCUGCCUGGGCUGGGCACCCGCUUGCUCAUGCAAGCCCCCUCUCUCAGCCACAUUCUCCAUCAAUUUUCCAACAGGCCUGGAAACUGGCUGGUACUGUCCUCCACUUUGCAAAGGGGCAAUCGGGGCCCGACGAAGGACAUGGGACUUGCCCAGAGUCGGGGGCUAGCAAGCUGGGCUGGGUUUCAGAUGGGGCCUGGUGGGUCCCCUGCACACGCUGCCUCCCUCUCCUGUGGCUUCCGCAGGACAGGUUCCUAACACGCUGGGGGACAGGUUCCUAACACUCUGGGAGUGACUGAGGGGCAGGAGCAGAUGGGCGGGGCCUCGCAGCACGUGCUCAGGGGGAAGCCACAGGGAUGCUAAACCGUCCUUGUGGGAGAAGACAGGACCCAGGACCGGGGAAGAGGCUACAGUUGCGGCAGAAGUCACCUGAAUCCUCUCAGGUUGGUCCUUGGCCAAGGGCAGCACAUUCCCCACUUUCAGCCAAGUCUCCUGGCCACUGCCUCAGCUCUCACCUGCUGCAGAUCUGAGUUCCCCGUCCUGUCAUGGCCCUGGGUAGAGCUCCUGGAAGAGAUGCUUAGACUCAGCCCUUUGUCACGGGGCCUCCCGGCACCUUGCCUUUCUGGUGGAGGAGAACCCCCAGGGCCGCCGGACGCUCUCCCUGGAAUUCUGUCCUCUGCCUCCUGCCAAGGUCUCCAUCCAAAGAGAACUUUCUUCACUCCUGACACUUCUUUUCAGACCAAAAAGAAGGACCUAUUUCACCCAGUUGGCGUAGGCUCCCUCUGAGAAGCCCUCCUGGACUGACCCAGGGAUGACACUAAACUCUAGCAAUUGACUGGCUGUCCCAGGAAGCCUCUGAUCAGGAUGGAAGUGGCCAGGCCUGGCUCCAGCCUGGGCUGCCCGUUUGUCCAGAACCACUGGGGAGAGGACUUCUUUCCACCCAUGCUCUGUGUCUGUAGCUGUCCACCUGGCCCAUCCUGGUCCCUCCUCUGUCAUCUGAGCUGACAGUCCUCUGAGAUGGAGGUCCCAUUUCGUGUCUAAUAAAGACUCCUGAACGUUGAACCAGU